UGGUCUUAUCCUUGUUCUACCACUUGACUUAUUGUUUUGUUUUGUUUUGUUGUGAAUUGAUAAAUAGAAAAAAAAUGUGUAAGGGUUUGAUGUAGGGCAAUCGUGUUGGUGUGGUGUGAGUGUUCUUUCAUGAUCUUUU